rnacentral:lncRNA from 1 species
UAAAAUUGAUCCCAAAAAAGGCAUAAAUUUAAAAAUGACCUACCAAAACGAUAUUUCAAAUAUAAGAAUUUUAAACAGGUGAAAAUAAAUAAAAUAAACAAAAGGCAAAACGGUUCGAUUUAGUUCGGUUUUGGUCUGGUCCGAGCAUAUGUCAUCACCGGUCCACCGAUUCAAUCUCAAACGAUGGAGUCGACGACUCACCAUAGCGCCACAACCGUCGUAGAGGCUUCGAGUCAUCUCAGAUGACCGAGUCGAGUCCACCAUAGCGCCACCACCUUAGGCUUCAAAGUCAACUCAGUGCGCCGCCGAGAGCUUCCAAGCAGAGGUGGUAAUGAGCGGGCGAGUGUGCCAACCCAACAUCAAACAUCCAUUAUUCUCCUCCACACGAUAACCUUGGCCACUAUUAUACACUGACAAUAGCAUACUCGCUUGCUUAAACGCGUUAGACCCGAGAUGUGCCGGCGCAAAACCGGAUGAACCAAACCGGUUUCCCCAUUGACUCAGCGUUUCGUGUCGCUCGACUCUGUCAGGACCUUCACAAGCCACGAGAUUGCAAAUCUGUUUCCCCAAAUAAACUUCAAACAUGACUUUGUCUUGACUACUCGGAACUCCUUCCAACGAAUCAAACAGAGUCGAAUAGUAAUGACUAAUGUAACGAUUCAGUAAACCGGUCUAAGAAAACCGGUCCGUUAUGGUUCGAUUCUUGCUCAACCACCGUGAAAAUCACCGGUUUUUAUAAUGAUAUUAAAAAUCACCGGUUUAAUCCCCAAUUCUGCGUAACACUCUGGUAUAUUGAUAUUAAAAAAAAACAUACGAUAUAAGAUUAAUAAUUCUACAUCAGUGAUUAAGAAAUAUGAAUAAUUAAUUAUCCCUUAUAUAUUAAUUGAGAAGCAUUAUUAAUAAAAAAACUUUGCCCCUCUGUGUGAUUUACAAGAUUACCAUGCUGACGUGUCGUGUUCACAGAGAUUUAUGGUUUAUACAAUUAAUUACUCAAAUAUUACUAAAUUAAUUACAAAUGUGCCAUGAUAUUCUAAUUAUUUUGUUAAUUAACAUUAAACAUCAGUAAUACAAACAUCAUAUCUCUAUCUAUACAUAAAGGAUUUGUGUAUAUGUAUAUAUAUAUAUAUAUAUAUAUAUAUAUAUUAAAUUGAUCUAAGGUCUAUUUUUUUAAAUCCAGACUAACAUAUAUACAUAUAUAUAUAUAUAUAUAAUAUUUAACAACUCAAACAUGUAAGCGUAUAAUUCAUGUAAAUUAAUAUAUUACAAUAUAUUUUUAUAACUUUUGUAAGUACAAAUUUUCCUAGGUUCAUAAAUCCAAACUACAUUUAUAAAAUUAAUUCUCAAAACUAAAUCUAUCAUAAAAUCAACAAUAAAUUAUUUUCCAAAUUUUGAAGGCAAUCCAAAUUUCAAAAAUUAAACCGAACCCUACAAAAAUAUUUCUCUAUAAAUAUAUUCCCUGAUAUCAUCUUCACCGUCUCAAAUUUACAAACACACAUCAUCUUAGUUUUCGAGCAAUCUAAAUUUUUUAAAUCUUCAUCAACUCUUUUACAAGAUGUAUAUAUGUUUUUUUCUUUUUUUUUAUGACUAGGAGGUUAUGAGCCUGUAGGCCCGUACAUCCCCCAGGGCGAGACCCAAACCAUGUAAUAUAACUCUCCUUUGGAGAGCAGACCCCUCCUAACGUGAAUCGAACCCGUGACUUCCAAGGUCCCUACAUUAUCGGUAACAACGAUGUAUAUGUGUUUGUUACGUUAGAAAAGAAAUUGUCGUCUUUAAUUAUUUUACGGGUAAAACGAAUUCCGAUACAAAAAAUCGAUGAUUAGAUCAUAAUACACUAACAGAUUUUGAAUUCCGCAUAAUAAUACAAUAAUUUUUGUAACUAAAACUACAAUACACUUCUUUAAUUGUCAUUUCAUCCCGCACUAUGUGCGGGUAAUUUAUCUAGUUUCAUUAUUAAUCGAGAUUAUUGAUUUAAAAUUUUGAUAUGGAUCGGUUCAAUCCUUUUAAGACUGAGCUGUCUUGUGUUGUGGGGCAUAUAUAUUCUACUAAUUUCUGGAACCUUAAUUAUAAUAAUCGUCUAACUAAAAAAUAAUUCGAGCUCAUUUAAAAUACUUAGGAGAUUAUCUUAUUUUAAAAGUUGUUCCGGCGGUUUAUAAAAAUAUCAUGUACUUAAAUAUAAACAAUACAUCUAGACCAGGUUUUAGAAGAAAAAAAAAAAAAAAACUCAGUCAACCAAAAAAAAAGUCCUCGACUCUUUCUCUCAAAACCCUAGCAGCCGUCAAAGUUCAGUUUUCCGUUUGGCCCUCUCCGGUGGUCGGCGCUCCUCGCCGCUGCUGUGAGAGGGUGUAAAUGCUUUCCUUUUUCUGUUUUACUUGUUUUUGUUCUCGAUCUGUCUAGUUCCAUGUUUUUGAGGUGAAGGAUUUUUCUUGGCUGAGAUGGUGAAACCUUUCGACGUGCCUUCUUGGCGUGCUCGGCGGCCUGCUUCUCCGGUGAGAGUCGUUAGUGGGUCACCGUUUUAGGUAACGGUUUUAGAUUCUCUGCUCUGUACAGAUCUGGCGAUGGCUCAUGACUCUUUGGGGUUAUUGAGGUUGGUUGCUCGCAGAUCUAGGCCGUGGUAUCACUUGUGUUUCAGUCCGGUAAGCAGAUCUUUGGGUUUGGUUUCUUCUCCUCUUUUCGUGUGUUAGAUGGUUUCGAUUUAGUUUCCUUCCUUUAGGUUUAUGUGUUGGUUGUGAGGCUUGUAUCGAAGGAGGUGGCCCUGUUUGUGGGUUUUAAAAUUGGAUCUUUGCUCUACCUCUCUAUUGAGUCCUCUUGCUUGUUCGUGGUUGCAAUAUGGCUGGGUUCGUUUUUGGUGUUGGCCAUUCUGAUGGUAUUUCGUUGCUGAGCCACCUACUAGCCUCUCUUCUUUGGAGAUAGGUUCUAGGCGAAGCAAUGGAAUCGUUCUCUAGCUCUUCUCUUGCGAGGACGUCGUCAGUUUUAUGUCUGUAGGUGGCUGAAGCUGUUUCGACGAGUGUCCGCGUGUAAGAGCUGUUGUUCUUAAUUGGCUUAUCUCCAGUCGAUUUUCAAGGGUUUUGCCUUGUCCAUAGUGGUGUUUGCUCUCUCUGUUUGGCUGUUGAGGUGUGAUAGUGGUUGUAUUUGUGUCUCUGGUAUCGAUGGUUUCUUGCUUUCCUCCCUGUCGGUUAUGCUUUUGGUUUGACUUCGGUGUGAGGUCUAUCCGGUUUUAUUGGUGCUUCCGACAUUCACAGUUUCUAUGUGGAAGCUUGGUGAGAGUCUAUCGUUCCUUUGUUCAAUUAUAGAGCUUAGGUUUCAAUUCUGCCUAUGCGGUUGAUCCUUUUUAGACAUUUGUCUCUUCUUGUAUUUUAUGGCUAGUCUAAAUUAGUUUCCCCGUUACGUUGGGGUUUUGCUUCCCUUUUUUGGGCUAAGUUUCUAGGGACAUCUUAGUCGUCCGCCGGCAUAUGUAAUUUCAACAUGUAUCUUACUUUGGUUCUUAAUAAAAUUCAGACGACAAAAAAAUAAAGACCAGGUUUUAGACUUUAAUAUAUAGUAUGUACGUGUUUAACAUUAAUAACUUACUGAAGCCUGCGAUUACAAAAUACUCAACAUUUCUAAAGAUUAAUAAAACAUCGGAACUAAAAGUUGAUGUGUCGAUCUAGAUAAGUAUUUAUCUCACCACGAUGCAUAAAUUUUGGCUUUCCGAUAUGAUUACAGCCAAUGAGAAAUUAGUUAAAAUAUGAGCAAAAAUUGUAUUAUUAGACUCCACUAAAAAGUAUCAAAACCUUUUUUUUCAUGAAAUUAUCUUUUAGUAGUUAGUACUCUUUGUAAUAGUUAUAUCUCGCUAUCAUCCCUUUUUCUUUCUCAACUUUACUUUAUAAACCUCAAUACCUCAUUAACAAAUAAGAAAUAUCUAGAUUCACUAAUUAUUAGUUUACUACUGUUCAUACAUAGUGAAGUCAAUUUCUUUUUUUUGCCAAAAAAUUGAGAGAUUAAAACAUAGUUUUAUUUUUGUUCAAAAAAAAAAACAUAGUUUUAUUUUAAAAUUCAUAAAUAUUAAUUAUUUAAUAAAUACAAACUCAGCCUAUUUAAAAUUGAUCCCAAAAAAGGCAUAAAUUAAAAAUGACCUACCAAAACGAUAUAUAAGAAUUUUAAACAGGUGAAAAUAAAUAAAAUAAACAAAAGGGCAAAACGGUUCGAUUCAGUUCGGUUUUGGUCUGGUCCGAACAUAUGUCAUCACCGGUCCACUGAUCUCAAUCUCGAAUUCACCGAGUCGAGUCACCAUAUCACCACCGUGGGCAUCGAGCCAAACUCAGUGCGCCGCCGUCGAGAGUUUCCAAGCGGAGGUGGUAAUGAGCGGGCGAGUGUGC